rnacentral:tRNA from 1 species
AGAGCAUAGCUCUGUGGUAGACUGCAUGCUUAGCAUGCAUGAGGUCCUGGGUUCCAUCCCCAGUAUCUCUG